rnacentral:rRNA from 1 species
CAGCCGCCGCGGUAAUACGUAGGGGGCGAGCGUUACCCGGAUUCACUGGGCGUAAAGGGGGUGUAGGCGGCUCGGUAAGUCGGGUGUGAAAUCCCACGGCUCAACCGUGGAAUUGCGCCCGAAACUGCCGAGCUUGGGGCCGGUAGAGGGAGACGGAACUGCCGGUGUAGGGGUGAAAUCCGUAGAUAUCGGCAGGAACGCCGGUGGGGAAGCCGGUCUCCUGGGCCGCGCCCGACGCUGAGGCCCGAAAGCUAGGGGAGAAAACCGGAUUAGAUCCCCGGGUAGUCCACGCCGUAAACGGUGGGCACUAGGUGUGGGGGGUUAAUCCCUCCGUGCCGAAGCUAACGCAUUAAGUGCCCCGCCUGGGGAGUACGGCCGCAAGGUUGAAACUUAAAGGAAUUGGCGGG